GUAGUAUAUGGCAAUGAUGUCUGCCCUAAACCGCCCGCAAAUUUUAUUUGUAGCUGAUGACGUCUACUUUAAU
rnacentral:ncRNA from 2 species